CCCGGAGAAUAUUCUGUCCGUCGGCGUUGACGUUUUAAUGGAGCUUUGCGCGCCAUUGGCCCUUGCGUCCUUUGUAGCGGCGCCUCGUCCAAGAGCGCGCAUUCUCUCAGGAAAUCUCCGAUGGACACCGAAAUUUAGGAUCGCGAUCGCGAUGAGUGAUCAGGGGCCGCGGGAUGUCUCGCUCAAGAAUGUGGAGGUCGAUGCUGCUCGAGGGAUGCUCCAGUCCGGAUCGCAUCGAUAUCUGGAUGUCCGAGCUCCCGAGGUCUUCGCAACUGGGAAUGUCGCUGGCUCGCGUAAUGUUCCUUACUAUAUCCCAGGCUCUGACAAAGUCAAGAACACUAACUUCGAGCAAGAGGUUCUUUCUAACUUCGACAAAGAAGAAGGAAUCAUAGUGGGAUGUGGAACUGGAACUCGAUCCGUUUUGGCUGCUGUCGAUCUUCUUGCCGCAGGAUUCACGAAUGUUUACAACAUGGCUGGUGGAUACCGCGCCAUCAAGAACAAGCAGACAGACGACAAAUAGCUUCGCGCGAUGGCAAAGACUCGAAUAAGAUUAAGCGCAGAGAAACGAAUAAUUCCAGCAGGGUGUAGAUCAUCAUCCCUCGACUUGCAUGCGGUGCAUACGCCGAGUUCUCUCUGGACAAAGCAAUUCACGGCACAAACUCUAAGCUUACCAGUUAGCCAAGUAGCUCGCGUUCCGGCAGUCCAUGUUUUGGACGCCGACAUGGCUUCGCAUCACCUCAGGCUUUCGGUUUCUGGGAGCAUUCGGGUAA